GAUUACUUGUGGAUAUCCCCUGUCUAGCUGGAUCGUGUGGUAGGCCGCGUAGGUGACAGUUACGUUGGUCCUCUGUAGUCCACCUCUCGUUAGCAGGACGGGUAGGGUUUAUCGGCCUAUGGAUAAGCAUCCUUUGUGGUGUAAUCUUAUCACGUGGUUCAUCCCAGACAUAGACAUACCCCUUUGAAGUAGAGAAACCAUAGUUAUCCUCUCUAUUCUGCUACCAUCGCCCAUAUACUAGAAUUGCUCUACUCUCUAUUCCCAUAUUAUCACUCACUGUUAUCUUAUCUUUAAUAUUGUUCUUAUUCGAUUCUACCAUCUUUCCUAUUCACACCUAUCUAUCUAUCUUGGUUUAGUUAGAGCGUAGUUGGUUCUCCCGUUUCCCUGUGGAUACGAUAAAACCUUUAACUGGGUAAAAGCUUCAACGGUAUCCGUGCGAUUGCGGAUUAUCUGUGUGCGUAUAAAUACCAUAGUACACUCUAGUGCCAUGCUGGGGAUGACAACCUAGUAUUCAAGUGAUGUUAGCAAGUGUCAACAAGCAUUUUUGGUGCCGUUGCCGGGGAAACGGUUGCUGAGUUGACUACGAACUAGCUUAAUCAUUUUCUAAAAAAAAUAAAAAAUAUAUAUAUAUAUUUUCCUUAUAUCCUUUGCCUCAUCUCUGCUAAUCUUUCUUCUUAUCUAAUCCUUGAUCUCUGGUCUAUCAUGAAUUCAAACAUGUCUAUCUAUGAAUUUCAUAGACCUACGGGCACACAUCUCGAACCACCAAAAUCUUCAAAGCCUAUCAUAGCAUCUAGUUUUGAGAUAGACCCCGAAUACAUAGAAUUUGUUCAAAAACAACCUUUCUCAGGAGAAGGUGAGGAAAACCCAUACACACACCUAAGAGAGUUUUAUCGAGUCUGUGACCUCCUUCGCAUAGAAGGAAUGUCCGAUGAGACCCUUAAAUGGAAGCUCUUUCCGUUCUCUUUAACAAGAAAAGCUAGACAUUGGUACAAACUCAAAAUAGGGAGUGUUCAUGGAGAUUGGAAGGAGUUAUAUAGUAGUUUUCUUUCUAAAUAUUUUCCAAUCUCCAAAGUGGCGGAACUUCAGCGUGAGAUUAUUUCUUUUAGACAACUAAAAGAAGAAUCUCUUAGGAAAUCAUGGGACCGCUUUAUUAACCUUACUCUCACAGGCCCAAAGCUUUCUAUUCUAGAAGAAGUUCUUCUAAUUCACUUAUUUGAUGGCCUUAGUGGGGAAAAUAAGGAAACCUUGAAUACAACCUCUAGAGGAUCCUUCUAUCACCAACCUGCUAGUGAAGCUUGGAAUUUGAUUGAUUUAUUAAGUGGAAAGUCUCCUAGCUUUUAUAUCCCUGAGAAAGAGACAGAACCAGUUCCUAGACAAGAAGAAGAAGUUUCGAUAGCCAGAUCACAACCACUUCAAAUCCAAACUUUAGCUAUCGAUCCUAAACCAUCAAUACCCCAAAAUUCUCCAAGGGAGGAAGGAAUUCCAACCUUAAAUCUUUCAGAUGCUGAUGGUUUAGACUUCUGGUUCCAUAAGAGACCUUCAAGCAGGGAUAAUUCAAAUCCUCGCAAUAAUGGUUCUCUUAGAGAAUGUCCUGGUUCCUGUUAUGAAGAAGUCGAGGAUGACAUAUCAAGUGAAGGAGAGCUAAGCCAUAUUGAAAAUUCUAACACCUCCCCUUUCCUGAUCACAAGUUCUAAAUGGCUAGAAUGUGUAGAAUGGAUGGAUAAGGAAGAAGCCUUAAUGAAUUCUGACUUUGGUUCAAUUUCAAAUGGUGAGUCCUUGACUCCCUUUGAAGAUGGGAUUCAUCCAACUAUAGAAGAGGACAUAAGUGAGACCAAUCCAAGAGAAACUCUAAACAUUCAGAUUGGAGACGAAGAUAACAUUAAUGAGCAUGGAAUUUAUUUCAUAGCCACUUUGUUUACUCCAUGCUCAUAUGCAACAUCUUCCCAAUCUAUUGGUCUCUCCAACAUCACCACAUUUGAUAUCUCCAACCCCCUCUUCCUUACUAUUUAUAAAAACUUUAAAAGGGCGGUUGUCGAUGCAUAUGUCUAUAAUAAAUAUUGCAGAUCUCAUUGAGUUGAUCUUAAUAUAGGUCAGCGUUGGAAGGGAAACCACUUCGCCGACAUAAAUUGAUGGUUUCCCAAGGACAAGCUUAGUGUCCUAAAAUAAGCACUGAACAGAUUGUAACAUGAGCUUUUAACAUUACCUUGUGUAUUGAGCAUAUAAGGAUAAUUGUAAAAAUAUUCCUUCGGAUAUUCUUGUCACUAACCUUUCCAGGAUUGGAGCAAGAAGAUUGGAUGAAUGACAAGCACAAGGUAUGUCCAACCAAUCAUCAUGCAACACUGAAUUAAAUUCAUCCAAACUUGAAUUCUACAAAAUUCAAGCUUGGGGGAGUACUUUACAUAAAAACAUCCUUUGCCAUGUUGCUAUGUUGGUUGUCCCUACCUUUAAGACAUGCUCAAUUUGUUAAAUACUAAUCACACUACUUCAUCCCCACUUGAGUAGAUCUCUAUAAAUGCUGUCAUGUUACCUUUGUCUAUUUACUACUAAGUGUUAGUUUGGAAGUACUGCACAUACUUCUAUUGGCUUUUAAAUUAAGCAUGGUGCUUAGGUUAAACAGCCUUCCUUAAUCUGAUUAGACAUGGAGUCUAGUUUGGUUAUUGAACUAAAAACUGCUUGUGUAGACAUUGGUAUAUUUUUGUCGGACUAACCCCUGCAGAAAAAAUUUCAAUAUCGAUUUGGGAAGUCCUGAGAUAAACUCACAUCAGAGACGAAGAGAGUGACACAUGAAGUUUAUCAAUUUGCACAAGUAGGACAUAGCUCAUUCAUCAUAGAGAGAUCAUCCAUGGAGGGUGCCACAAACACGAUGCACAACCGCUAAGAAAGGAAAGCUUCCACAAGGUGAUACUGUACCAUCACUAUUCAGGCAAGGUAACAUCUUAAGGUACUUGACUAUCACUUUUAUAAGCUUCUCCUUGGUUCUGGCGUUCAUAUAAAUAAAAGAGACAAACAUGUAUGAUUUACAACUCUAAAUUAAUCAACCCAACUGGUUCAACAUGUUUAGUCCUUUAAUCUUUGUUCCUAGUACUACCUCCAUGAUCCCACACUCCUAAUCAUAUGAGCUAAAAUGUUACACAUUCAAUCAUUGAGAGAUAUAAAGAAAAAGACAUAUACAUAGAUAGAUUAUCUUUCCAUAAGGUUGAGCGAUCUGAUCUGACAAAUGUUAUAAGUGCUACACUCAUGAACUUUUCAUCGAUCAACUUUGUCUUGCUCACUAUGCUUAGGCUUAGAGAAGAACAAAUACACUUUAGGUUCUGUUGGUGUUUUCCACCAAUAGGACCCAUGCACUUGAUCUCUGCCUUGUAUCCAUGAGCAGGUACACUUCGAGCAAAACAUGGAGGAGUUUUAUAACUCUCAGACUCUACCAAGUGAAGGACCUGGAUCUACGAGCACAAACACACUGAGCAGGGUACUGCCAACACCGCACUUCGAACUGCUGGGCAAACGAAGAGGUGCAGACGUCAAGGUCCGCACCUGAAUCAAAUGACGCACCUGAAGAAUGAACACGGUGAGAAGUCUUGUUAAGAAGACUUAAAACAUUGAACCCUCGCCAAAAGGUAAGAUCGGUAGUUAUCCAUAUUUAUCCUUUCUGGAUUCCAUUUUCCCUUUAAUUAUUUACUUUCCUUAAAUAGAUUAUUAGUUAAUCAUGCUAUCUUGAAAAGAAAAUAAAAAUGUUAAAAAAAUACUAAGCCCCAUGUGAGUAUACGAGUGACAUAAAACCCAUAAGUACCUUCACUGUGGUGGCAUAAAAAUAAAAUAAAUAUUUCUUUUCUGCUUUAUAAAAUAAAAAUAUAAAAACAGGGAGUAAUAUUUAUUGAGGAAGCUCAACAUGAUGAAGGCUAGAUAUUUAUGCUAACACUUAAUUAGUUCCACAAGCUUUGUUGUCUAUUUGAGCUCCACAGAAUUUAAGAAUCAAGAAGACUAGCACAUGGAGGACAUUCUAAUCGCUGUCAGAAUACUGCUGACUUUCAAAUACACCUCUGCCACCUGCUAGCUACAUCAAGAGAAAUUACGUCAAAAUUCAGCUUGGGGGAGAGCACCCCCAUUUAUCUCGCUAAGUAUUUCUACCUAUCUUUAUACUUAUAUUAUGUUAGAAUAUUAAAAUACAUAAACUAUGAAAAACCAAAUAAAGAUUUUGUGCUUAUAUAUAUCUUUUGCUUAGUGUGUUUAAUAAAUAAAUAAAGUGGCUAUGCUAAUCUGAAUCUUAAUAAUAAAACUCUAGCAUGGAUAUGAUGAAUAGUUGCUCUGCCUAAUUUGCAAAUUUGAAGUUCUCUAUCAAGUUUAGACAUAACUGUUAUAAUUUAAAGCUUGCUCUAGAUCUAAACUUGUGGGAUGAAAACUUGAUCUAAAAUCUAAGUUGUUAACGGAUAUGAUAUGGGAAGGUUGAGCUGCUGUUUAUCUGUUCCUAGAGAUGCUAGAAUUCUGGAGAAUUUUAUCUUUGAAAAAUAUGUAAAAUAUUGCAUGAUGAGUUCCUGUAUGAUGAGAGUUUAAAUUCCUACCACAGCCAUAUAUACAUGCUUGCUAGACUUUGAGCCACACAUUUACUAUUUACUGCUUAUGAGCAUUGAGUGUGGUCAAGCUGUGUAGACCCUUAGGAGCUUGUCAUGUGGUUAAAUCAAGAUUCACUUGCACGUUCACUCAUAUAUGCUACUUCUACUCUGGAAGUACCAUCCACAUAUAUCCAUCCAUGUCCAUCUACAGAACCACCCAAAAAUAUUCUACUCCUAAUCCGGGAGAGAAUAGCCAAAAAUAUUUCUGUUUUCCCUUGUGAAAUAAAUGCUCAAGUUAUCUUGCUACUACCAAUUGCUAUAUUAUCUCAAGAGAUGAGUGCUCUGGAAAAAAGAAAAGAGAAGAAAAGAAAAAAAAAUUAACGAGGAAAUAAAAAGGGGCAAGUGCCCGGAACCUCGAAAGAAAGAAAAAGUGAGACGAGAGGUAAAAAUGGACAAGUGUCUGACAGUAGAAUUAGGGGUACAAGAUACCCACCUGAGAGGAAAGAAAAAGAAGAGCAUCUCAUUCUUCUCAUAAAGUUUCAAAAAGCAAGGAAGGUAUGUAUCCCCUCAAAAGAGCAAAAGUAGAAUUAGACUUUCACCAUUGUUAGCACCAUCAUCACCAUACACCAUUCAUUCGCCACACAUGCACAUCUUGAUUUGGCUUAUUGAUUUGUUUCUUUGGAUCCAUGGUUUGACUAUACAAUAAAUGUCUUUUAAGUAUGUAUACUUUAUCUCCCACCUAUGAGCUCAGAUAUUAAAGCCUUAUUAGAGUAGGGUGAGAGAGAAGGCAAUGUCACUAUGCCUUAUACCACAAAUACCACAUAUCUUGAGAGAAGGCAUAUACCAUCACUGCCUUUGUAAGGAUCCAGAAAUACCACAAAAGAGAGAUUUAGAGAUUCAUACAAGGAAUCUCUGAGUUUUAUUUGAAAAUCUGCAAAAACUCCAGAGCUAUAGCUGAUCAAGAAUAAGAGACAUGGCACUUGGCUAGACUGUUCUAUCUUUUAACUACUCAAGAUAGAAGUGAUUGUUACAAGUCCCAUGGUGAAACGUAAAGUAAGUAAGUUUUAGUUCUUGACAGUUUACUCUAACUCAGAGAUGAGAUCUUAUUUAAAAGCAUGUGUACCAUCAAUUUUUUAAGAUAUUGCAACAACUUCUGAUCCAUUGCUGAGUCUAUCCUUGCUCAGGGACGAGCAAGAGGUAAGCUUGGGGGAGUUUGUUGACGGUCCUUAAGUAUCAAAUUUAAUUAUCAAAUAAACAAAGAAAAGGAUCCAAAUGAAAUCAACAUCUAGACUUAGGGUUUUAUCUGACAUAAUUCCACGAGUUUUGGUGUUUGUCUAUUUCUGCAGGGGGUUAUCAGGAAAUACGGAAGAAAGACCCACACGUUGGGAUUAUAUAGAGAUAUUAACGUGCCACGCAAUUAUCUUACAUCUAGAAGACUCCAGAAGCCACGGGAAGGAAGCAGAGGCCGAAUGGGGCCAGAGGCAGUGCGCCCACCCUCCUGCCCUGGGUGCCCGCCCUGACUUGGAGCCCAAUCAAGACUCUUUCUAUCGGGAGAUCUCCACCGACCUAAAGGACCAAGGAUAACCGUUCAAUCAAUGUCGGUUUGAUCCGACGGCCCAGGUUCAAUUGAAGUGACUAUAUAACCAGACCCCCUAGCCCCUGGAGGAGACACACCCCUUGAUCAUUAUUCAUUAUUCAUAGAUAGAGCAAAAGCUAGGGUUUAGAGAUGAGAGCUCUCCUCUCUUCUCUAAACUAGAGUAGAUCUAGAUAGUAGCAAGAUGGAGAGCCAAGGAGGAUUAGAGGAGAGGCCGGCCUGUUGGUUCUUCCUCCAGUUGUACUUCGUCAUGAUCAAGCUCUAAUCAAGCUUGCUCAUGGGAUGACUCUGGUAAUCUACUUCUAAUUCAUUAUGCAAUUACUAAUCAUGUAUGUUCUGGUUCACAACUCUUUUGAGUACUUCUAAUCUAUAGGACGCUAUAGGUUAGAGUUGUAGUAUAGGUGUAAGCGAUGUGCUUAGAUCUAGAUUACUUGUGGAUAUCCCCUGUCUAGUUAGAUCGUGUGGUAGGCCGCGUAGGCAACAAUUACGUUGGUCCUCUGUAGUCCACCUCUCGUUAGCAGGACGGGUAGGGUUUAUCAGCCUAUGGAUAAGCAUCCUUUUGUUGUAAUCUUAUCACGUGGUUCGUCCCAGACAUAGACAUACCCCUUUGAAGUAGAGAAACCAUAGUUAUCCUCUCUAUUCUGCUACCAUUGCCCAUAUACUAGAAUUGCUCUACUCUCUAUUCCCAUAUUAUCACUCACUGUUAUCUGACCUUUAAUAUUGUUCUUAUUCGAUUCUACCAUCUUUCCUAUUCACACCUAUCUAUCUAUCUUGGUUUAGUUAGAGCGUAGUUGGUUCUCCCGUUUCCCUGUGGAUACGAUAA
rnacentral:lncRNA from 1 species